rnacentral:rRNA from 1 species
AACUCUCAACGAUGGAUGCCUCGGCUCGAGAAUCGAUGAAGGACGCAGCGAAGUGCGAUAAGCACUGCGAUUUGCAGAAUUCCGUGAACCAGUAGAAAUCUCAACGCAUACUGC